GAUCCAUUGUAGCACAUUAGAACCAUCAAAACGUGGAAAAUCCAAUUUGAUGUUUCUUACCUGAAAUGGUUGUGAGUUCCCCAUUGUCGCACUUGAGUUCGAGCCAGCCAUGGAAAAGGUUGCUAGAGCUGUUUCGAUUUGUGUAAAUCGGUCAUUGUAAUCUUGAUCUCGUUUUCCCAUGAGCUCCAAGAUCUUCUUGACGUUAGAAUCCAGCUCCUUCAUGCGAGUAUUCUCAGC